rnacentral:tRNA from 1 species
GUCUCUGUGGCGCAAUUGGAUAACGCGUUGCCCUCCUAAGGUGAAGAUUGCGGGUUCGAAUCCCGUCAGAGAUA